UUUUAAAAAAGCAAAAAAGUCAUUUAUUAUUAUUCAUCUCUCUCUAUAAAUAGACCAAAAUCCAACUUUUGGCCAUGCAUUGCAAAGGUUCGAGGCUUUGAGCUACAGAGCAAGUCCCCAAAACAUAUCAGGAGAUUAUACCUUAGACAUGGACAGAAGAUUGCUUGGCCUUGCUCUCACUCUGCUUGCCCUCUUAGCUUUCGAAGGUGAAGGAAUGACUGCAGAUGCGAAGAAUUGCGUUGUGAGUAUAUUUAAGAACGCAACGGUGCCGUGCGUGACGGCGGAUUGCGACAAGAAGUGCAAGGGAGCCAAAUAUGCAGGAGGAACAUGCGUCGUUUUUGACAUCUGCGACUGUUAUUAUCCUUGCUAGCUACAGAUGGAUCGGAUCUCUCUCCUUUGGUUUUGGAGUUCAAUGAAGAAUAAUAAAGCACCAUCGAUGAUAAACCUAGCUAGCUAGCUAGCUAUCUUUUGUCAUUGUUUGUUUCACCCUCGAUCUCAACCGCUACCAUGUCAACUCAGGAUACCAUGAGUGGACUCGUGAUAUUACAUGGUUCGUGAGUUUUAGCAUUUUGCAUGUUAUAUAUAUCUAUGGAAGGCUGCGGACCUAAUUUUAGUAAUACAAAAUAUUGCCUU